rnacentral:misc_RNA from 1 species
GAACGCACAUUGCGCCCCUUGGUAUUCCAUGGGGCAUGCCUGUUCGAGCGUCAUUUGUACCUUCAAGCUCUGCUUGGUGUUGGGUGUUUGUCUAGUCCGCGUGUCUAGACUCGCCUCAAAGUAAUUGGCAGCCAGUGUUUUGGUUUUGAAGCGCAGCACAAGUCGCGACUCAAGCCUAUAUCCACCAGCUUCCACAAGCCUAUUAUCACUUUUGACCUCGGAUCAGGUAGGGAUACCCGCUGAACUUAAG